rnacentral:lncRNA from 13 species
CAGACAGCCAAUCCGGUUUCAAAGUCGAAGGUCAAUCACUCCAGAGGAAGUUUGAAAGAACUCCUCUCAUUGGACAAGAACAUGAAUGGGGUGUGAAUAACUUCUAAGUUUUAAAACCCCCGCUGCCCCUUACCUGUGCGGACUCUUUCUCCAGAUCCCCUCCCACGGCAACUUGGGAGAUGUCUCUCCCUCUUUACCUGUACAGAUGUUCCUCUCUGGAAUCCCCUCCCACAACAAGGGCACAUAAUUUCUACAGAUUUGUCUUCAAGCUUGCUGAUAUUUUCUUCUGCCAAUUCGUAUCUACUUGUGAGCUCCUUUGUCUUCUCUUUCUCCAGCACUGGAAUCAAUGA